UACGUAGGGUGCAAGCGUUAAUCGGAAUUACUGGGCGUAAAGCGUGCGCAGGCGGCUUUGCAAGACAGAUGUGAAAUCCCCGGGCUUAACCUGGGAACUGCAUUUGUGACUGCAUGGCUGGAGUGCGGCAGAGGGGGAUGGAAUUCCGCGUGUAGCAGUGAAAUGCGUAGAUAUGCGGAGGAACACCGAUGGCGAAGGCAAUCCCCUGGGCCUGCACUGACGCUCAU
rnacentral:rRNA from 1 species